GACUACGCUGGCGGCGUGCCUAAUACAUGCAAGUCGAACGGGAUUUUUGAUCAGCUUGCUGAGAGAAGGAUCUAGUGGCGGACGGGUGAGUAACGCGUGGGAAUCUGCCUCUUACUGGGGGAUAACAGUGGGAAACUACUGCUAAUACCGCAUAAGAUCUUCGGAUGAAAGGUGCAAUUGUACCGGUAAGAGAUGAGCCCGCGUCCCAUUAGCUAGUUGGUGAGGUAAAGGCUCACCAAGGUCGACGAUGGGUAGCCGGCCUGAGAGGGUGAACGGCCACACUGGGACUGAGACACGGCCCAGACUCCUACGGGAGGCAGCAGUAGGGAAUCUUCCGUUCAAUGGGCGCAAGCCUGACGGAGCGACGCCGCGUGAGUGAUGAAGGCCUUCGGGUCGUAAAGCUCUGUUCUUGAGGACGAAUAAGCCAGGGAGUGGAAAGCCCUGGUGAUGACUGUACUCAAGGAGAAAGCUCCGGCUAACUACGUG
rnacentral:rRNA from 1 species